rnacentral:rRNA from 1 species
CCUACGGGCGGCUGCAGUGGGGAAUAUUGGACAAUGGGGGCAACCCUGAUCCAGCGACGCCGCGUGUGUGAAGAAGGCCUGCGGGUUGUAAAGCACUUUUAGUGGGGACAAAAAGCCGAGGGCUAAUACCUUUCGGUCUUGAUUUAACCCAAAGAAAAAGCACCGGCUAACUCUGUGCCAGCAGCCGCGGUAAUACAGAGGGUGCAAGCGUUAAUCGGAAUUACUGGGCGUAAAGCGUGCGCAGUCGGUUAUUUAAGUCGGAUGUGAAAUCCCCGGGCUCAACCUGGGAAUUGCAUUCGAUACUGGAUAGCUAGAGUUCGGCAGAGGGAAGCGGAAUUUCGGGUGUAGCGGUGAAAUGCGUAGAUAUCCGAAGGAACAUCAGUGGCGAAAGCGGCUUCCUGGACCAGAACUGACGCUCAGGCACGAAAGCGUGGGGAGCAAACAGGAUUAGAUACCCCUGUAGUC